rnacentral:rRNA from 1 species
GACGAACGCUGGCGGCGUGCUUAACACAUGCAAGUCGAACGGAAAGGCCCUGCUUUUGUGGGGUGCUCGAGUGGCGAACGGGUGAGUAACACGUGAGUAACCUGCCCUUGACUUUGGGAUAACUUCAGGAAACUGGGGCUAAUACCGGAUAGGAGCUCCUGCUGCAUGGUGGGGGUUGGAAAGUUUCGGCGGUUGGGGAUGGACUCGCGGCUUAUCAGCUUGUUGGUGUGGUAGUGGCUUACCAAGGCUUUGAAGGGUAGCCGGCCUGAGAGGGUGACCGGCCACAUUGGGACUGAGAUACGGCCCAGACUCCUACGGGAGGCAGCAGUGGGGAAUAUGGCACAAUGGGCGGAAGCCUGAUGCAGCAACGCCGCGUGCGUGAUGACGGCCUUCGGGUUGUAAACCGCUUUCGCCUGUGACGAAGCGGGAGUGACGGUAAUGGGUAAAGAAGCACCGGCUAACUACGUG